GACAGAGGUGCCAAGCGUUAGGCGGAAUCACUGGGCUUAAAGCGUGUGUAGGCGGAAUGGUAAGUACCUUGUGAAAUCCCACGGCUCAACCGUGGAACUGCUUGGUAUACUGCUUUCUUGAGCCACUUAGGGCUGUCGGAACAAACGGUGGAGCGGUGAAUGCGUAGAUAUCGUUUGGAACGCCAAAGGUGAAACAGACAGCUGGGAGUGUGCUGACGCUGAGACACGAAGCCAGGGAGCGAACGGG
rnacentral:rRNA from 1 species